rnacentral:lncRNA from 1 species
UGAGCAAUACAGCGAGACCCAAUCUUUAUACACACCCUUAUACCUGUCUCUACAUCACACAGCAGCCUCAUCAGUCCUUAUUUAUCUUUUUAAUUGACGUCAAAAACACUCACAAACCUGCUGCUCUGCUUGUCCUGCACCACCUCAACUUGCAACUACAUCCUCCACCCUAAACACUCCUGCCGCCCAGCAGGUGGAGACAAACUCACUCACUCACUCAAUCAAUCAAUCAAUCAAUCAAUCAUAUAUAUAUCAGUCUGGUAUGGUGUCGACAUAAUGCCGCAAUCUGGCAGUCAUGCCUUCUUUUUGAGCAGUGGUUCCAUGGUCUUUGAAUCCAGUGAUCUGAGUUCAAAUCUCAGUGGGACCUGGUUUUUAGAGGUGAAACCACACUUCAUGUCUUCUCUGGUUCACAGAAACAGUGCUACAGUUGUGUUUUCAGUCAAAACUGUAUAAAAUCAAGCAGCUAACCUUGACCUCUGCCUUUAGAAAUGAUUGUGAAUUCCUAUGUGCUACUAAAGAGCUUAUACUUGUGCGUAUAAGCCCGUUCUCACUCCCGAGGCGUAACAUCCCGACGUUUUGUCACGUCCCGCGGCGUUCCUGAGGAACGCGAAAGGUGACCUUCCACGUUGUUAUGGUACGCGGCGGGUUCCAGCCCUGUAUUGCAGCCCUAAACCUAACCUUAUCCCUAAACCUAACCAUAACCUUAUUCCUAACCUUAACCAGCACUUUAAUGACGUGAAAUAGUGUUUUCCCAAGCGAUUUUAAGGGAAAAAGCGAAGAUGUGUACAUUGAGUCCAAACGGUUCUCAUGUGUCCGCAGUUUUCCGAUGUCGUCACGUAGGAACGCGUUGGGUGGCCGAAAACGUAAUAUGUUGACGAUUUGUCACCUAGCGUAAAAUGUUACGCUUAGGGAGUGAGAACGUGUUGGUAUAAGUCACAAACACUCUGCUCACUCACUGACUGAGCAUGAUCAUCAUUUUCGAGCUAUAAAUGGCAUCAGCCUCUCCACAAUUGACAGUAUCCUUAAAAGAACCCAUUGGCUGAAUA